GCAUCGUGAAUCGAUUCUCAAGCUUUGGUGCGUAUCUUUGAUCAAAGCAAAUAUGGAGUACCCCGUGAUACUGAACAGCAGCGAGCAACCGAAGAAUGAGUCUUGGCUAGAAUUAACAUCUUGGAGGAAUUGUGGCGUGUGAAUUAGGUCUUGUAAAGUACAGAGGUUCUUCACCCUAGUGGUAGGUUUCACUUCUAGUAUCCACUUAAGGUUUGGACCAAUGAUGGAAGGGAGGAAUAUGAUGCUUCCUUGACUUUACUCACACAAACAACCAAAUCAAUCGGGCUAUCACGUCUAGUUUUAUAAAACCCAGCUCCACUCCUGGCCACACCGCAUAAAUCAGUCGGGCUAUCAGGGCCAAUUUCAUAAAACCCAGCCACACUUCUGGCCACACCGCGUGAGAAAAACAAAACCAAUGUAUAGGAAGACUUCCUAUAUGUACCAGUUUUACGUAGUACUCAUCACCGAACAGAGCCUAUUUGUUCCGGUAUUGUCUCACAUCCCAAAUAAAGGGACGAGAAAUCUGGUUGUGCUGGUUCUAUGAAGUACUCAACACAAAUAGUUAUCUCAUUUUGGCCAAUCUUGUCUCACGUCUGAAAAAGCAGACUGGAAGUUUGUUCGUGCCAUUUCUAUGAAAAUAACCGCUACAGAUAGUUACCUUAGACCAGUCCUGUCUCACGUCUGAAAAAAAAAAAUAGACCAGAAGUUCGUUUGUGCCAUUUCUAUGAAAUAACCAGCACAAAUAGCUAUUUCAUUUAUGUUGGGUGUUGUCCUAACCCGGCAAAAAUAACUUACGUUAUGCCAUUGCUUCCAUCUCGGGCUUGUGCAGCGGCAGAAAAUGGCAGGAGGCCCUCACUGCAGGUCGGAAUGGGAUUAUGGGGAGAUGAAGUUUUGAAAAAAAAAUCAAGCUAUUAAAGAUUUUGUGUCAAAA
rnacentral:lncRNA from 1 species